rnacentral:tRNA from 1 species
ACCCUUCCUGGGAUAGCUCAGAUGGUAGAGCAUGAGACUCUUAAUCUCAGGGUUGUGGGUUUGAGCCCCACGUUGGGCA